GACGAACGCUGGCGGCGUGCUUAAAACAUGCAAGUCGAACGGACUUCUCAUGAAAGCUUGCGAUUGAGAAGUUAGUGGCGGACGGGUGAGUAACGCGUGGGCAACCUGCCCCUGAGCCCGGGAUAACAGUUCGAAAGGACUGCCUAAGACCGGAUAUACUUGCGGGGAAGCAUUUCACUGCAAGGAAAGGGAACGCUCAGGGAUGGGCCCGCGUCCCCAUUAGCUAGUUGGUGAGGUAACGGCCCACCAAGGCGACGAUGGGUAGCCGGCCUGAGAGGGUGAACGGCCACACUGGGACUGAGACACGGCCCAGACUCCUACGGGAGGCAGCAGUUGGGAAUCUUCGGCAAUGGGCGCAAGCCUGACCGAGCAACGCCGCGUGAGUGAUGAAGGUUUUCGGAUUGUAAAGCUCUGUCUUCCGGGACGAUAAUGACGGUACCGGAGGAGGAAGCCACGGCUAACUACGUG
rnacentral:rRNA from 1 species